UAGAGGAGGAAUGAGGGACAUCUGACCAUAUUGAAGUCUCCCUGUCAAAAUAAAACAAACACAAGCAGAACAAAUACAGUAUCAGGCUGAAGGAAUGACACCACUGUGAGUCCAGAGAGAACAGAUUUUACAACCACUCACCGUACACUACCAACAUCUGCACAUCCGCUUCUCCACAGGAGUCAGGAACACAAAUACCCACAAAGUACUGGGCUGUUCCCUGUGGAACACCUGGCAGUACUGUCCUGAGAAUGUGGGGCCAUGAGCAGAGCGACACUGCUGCAGCAAGCCAGGCUGGUUGGUGUUACCUCCCUCAACGUUGCUGCCCAUCUUUCCGAAUGAAUCAUACACUGAACCAGGAUACAAACAGGAACAACAAUUCAAAGUGUGUUGCCAAAAAAACCUCUUCAUAGUGUUACUGACCAUGGACUAUCAUUUUGAUCAUUUCUUAAGACAUUUAAGUAUGUUAACAUUGCACUAAAA